AUGCAGGCCGCCAUGCUGACCAGAAGUCUCUCUAGUCACUUCCCCAUGGGCAGGCCAGAGUGGGGUUUUUUCUUGCUUGGCUUGGCUUGGCUUGGAUUUCUUUCUUCCUUCUUUCUUUCUUCCUUCCUUCCUUCCUUUCUCUGUCUUCCUUCCUUCCUUCCUUCCUUCCUUCCUCUCUCUCUUUUCCUUUCUUUCUUUCUUUCUUUCUUUCUCCCUUUCUUUCUUUCUCUUUUUCUUUCUUUUUCUUUUUCUUUCUCUUUCUUUCUUUCUUCCUUCCUUUCUUCUUUCUUUCUUUCUUUCUCCCUUUCUUUCUUUCUCUUUCUUUUUCUUUUUCUUUCUUCUUUCUUUCUUUCUUCUUUCUUCUUUCUUUUCUCUUUCUUUCUUUCUUUCUCCCUUUCUUUCUUUCUUUUUCUUUUUCUCUUUCUUUCUUUCUUUCUUUCUUUUCUUUUUCUCUUUCUUCUUCUUUCUUUCUCUCUCCCUUUCUUUCUUUCUCUUUCUUUUUUUCUUCUUUCUUUCUUUCUUUCUUCUUUCUUUUUCUCUUUCUUUCUUCUUUCUUUCUCUCUCCCUUUCUUUCUUUCUUUCUCUUUCUUUUUUUCUUCUUUCUUUCUUUUCUUUUUCUUUCUUUUUCUUUUCUUCCUUCCUUCCUUCUUCCUUCCUUCCUUCCUUUCUUUCUUUCUCUCUCCCUUUCUUUCUUUUUCUUUCUUUCUCUUUCUUUCUUUCUUUCUUUCUUUUUCUUUUUCUUUCUCUUUCUUUUUCUCUUUCUUUCUUUCUUUUUCUUUCUUUCUUUCUCUUUCUUUCCCCUUCCCUCCCUUCUUUCCUUCCUCCCUCCCCUUCCUUCCUUCCUUCUUACAUUCUUACUUAUUUACAAAAUCCCCCCCUUUUAGCAUCCAGUUCUACCUAUGGGUUUUGAUAGAGGCAUGCAUUUGUAUAGCCACUCUCACAAUCGAGAUAAAGAAAAUCCCCAUCACGCCAACCCCUGGAGAUCCCCAGUCUACUUUCCGUCCCUAUAGUUUUGCCUUCCCCGGGAUGUUAAAUGAGUGGAAUCGUCCAGAAUGA
rnacentral:lncRNA from 1 species